AGGGGCAACCCGCCUGAGGAUGAGCUCGCGUCUGAUUAGCUAGUUGGUGGGGUAAGAGCCUACCAAGGCGUCGAUCAGUAACUGGUCUGAGAGGAUGAUCAGUCACACUGGGACUGAGACACGGACCAGACUCCUACGGGAGGCAGCAGUGGGGAAUUUUCCGCAAUGGGCGAAAGCCUGACGGAGCAAUACUGCGUGAGGGAGGAAGGCUCUUGGGUCGUAAACCUCUUUUCCCAGGGAAGAACUUAAUGACGGUACCUGAGGAAUCAGCAUCGGCUAACUCCGUGCCAGCAGCCGCGGUAAUACGGAGGAUGCAAGCGUUAUCCGGAAUGAUUGGGCGUAAAGCGUCCGCAGGUGGCAAUUCAAGUCUGCUGUCAAAGACUGGGGCUUAACCCCUGGAAAGGCAGUGGAAACUGAACAGCUAGAGUUGGGUAGGGGCAGAGGGAAUUCCUGGUGUAGCGGUGAAAUGCGUAGAGAUCAGGAAGAACACCGGUGGCGGAAGCGCUCUGCUGGGCCGCAACUGACACUCAUGGACGAAAGCUAGGGGAGCGAAUGGGAUUAGAUACCCCAGUAGUCCUAGCCGUAAACGAUGGAUACUAGGCGUUGCUCGUAUCGACCCGAGCAGUGUCGUAGCUAACGCGUUAAGUAUCCCGCCUGGGGAGUACGCGCGCAAGCGUGAAACUCAAAGGAAUUGACGGGGGCCCGCACAAGCGGUGGAGUAUGUGGUUUAAUUCGAUGCAACGCGAAGAACCUUACCAGGGCUGACAUGUCG
rnacentral:rRNA from 1 species